AUGAAUCGAAUACCUCCAUGUUCGUACCAAACAAGUCAAUACUUGAACCUGCAGAUUCUGUUGCCACCAACACAGGUUAUGAUGUUGAGAAGAUGGAUAGAGGCAAAUCAGACGAACAAUGAAAAAUUGAGGCCAAGGAGAUGGCUGCCGAACGGAAGCGUUUUGCCAUGUAUGUUGAUGCCUGGGAAGGGACAUGGGGGGGGUUCUGAUGGGUUCGGUUGCUUCCGAGACAUGACGGCAGUGAGUUCCAUGCAAUACACACACUUGAUACCAGGGAGCACCCCGUUGCACUAUGGUCGAGUCGGGCCUAGCCUGCAGAUCUUCUCUGUCAAACUCGCAGAAAUACGAGGUGGUCUGGAAUGGCCGUUGCCAGUGUACGGCACGGUCGCUGCCCGAGACCAUGUGGAUCACAAUCGCAACCUUCUGUUUGCCCGCAACAGGAGUGAGUGCCAGACACUCAAUGAAGAGGAUUCCUUUUUGACCUUGACUGGCCCCUCUCGUGCAAUUGUCAGCGAGGAAUCUGUUGUCCUGGAAAUCCAACUAAAAGUAAGAGGUAGAACCAAGUCUCAAGAUAAGCCACUGAUGAAUGGCGUGUGCAGUUACUACAGCAGAAGAGAAGGCCCCGUUUGCUUUAGGAACUGCUUUUGCACCCUAGAGUUAAGUUUGGAGGGACUUCAGAAAACAGUCCAGGCGACUAUUUUGGGCGUCCGUGUCAAAGAGGAGGGGUCAUGGCCUAAAGCAUUCGGAGGUCGAGUUGCUUGCUCAGUCACUGGACCUGACGCCAGUCCUCAGGAAAUUGAGCUGCUUGAUUCUCGUUAUACAGCCAUGCCGAUGACUUCUCAGGGUUACCUUGUUCUAUCAAGGAAUGUUGUCUCUGUAGACUAUCAUGGAAGCCUGAAUUUUGUCUUGGAAGCCUACUCAGAUUCCGGUAAUAAAGUUGCACAAAAAAAUGAGACCUUCGAGCCCAAGUUUUCCAACAUAAGCCAGCAAACAUGUAUACUCACUGGAGGCAUUGAGUUGGAGAUUACUGUUGCAUGGUCCAGUCUGGUUUCUGAGAAGUGGGACAUCUCGGUACAAGGAUGUGUAGUAUUAUAA
rnacentral:rRNA from 1 species